UACGUAGGGUGCAAGCGUUGUCCGGAAUCAUUGGGCGUAAAGAGCGUGUAGGCGGCUCGAUCAGUCCGCUGUAAAAGUCCAGGGCUCAACCCUGGGAUGCCGGUGGAAACUGUCGGGCUAGAGUCCGGGAGAGGCGAGUGGAAUUCCUGGUGUAGCGGUGAAAUGCGCAGAUAUCAGGAGGAACACCAAUGGCGAAGGCAGCUCGCUGGAACGGUACUGACGCUGAGACGCGAAAGCGUGGGGAGCAAACAGG
rnacentral:rRNA from 1 species